ACGUAGGGUGCGAGCGUCAAUCGGAAUUACUGGGCGUAAAGCGUGCGCAGGCGGUUCGCUAAGACAGGUGUGAAAUCCCCGGGCUCAACCUGGGAACUGCGUUUGUGACUGCAUCACUCGAGUACGGCAGAGGGAGGUGGAAUUCCGCGUGUAGCAGUGAAAUGCGUAGAGAUGUGGAGGAACACCGAUGGCGAAGGCAGCCCCCUGGGCCGAUACUGACGCUCAUGCACGAAAGCGUGGGGAGCAAACAG
rnacentral:rRNA from 1 species